UGCGUAGGCGGGGCAAUUAGUCAGUGGUGAAAUCCUGCGGCUUAACCGUAGAACUGCCAUUGAUACUGUUGCCCUUGAGUAUAGUUGAGGUGGGCGGAAUGUGUAAUGUAGCGGUGAAAUGCAUAGAGAUUACACAGAACACCAAUUGCGAAGGCAGCUCACUAAGCUAUAACUGACGCUGAGGCACGAAAGCGUGGGUAGCGAACAGGAUUAGAUACCCUGGUAGUCC
rnacentral:rRNA from 1 species